rnacentral:rRNA from 1 species
UACGGAGGGGGCUAGCGUUGUUCGGAAUUACUGGGCGUAAAGCGCACGUAGGCGGCUUUGUAAGUUAGAGGUGAAAGCCCGGGGCUCAACUCCGGAAUUGCCUUUAAAACUGCAUCGCUAGAAUUUGUGGAGAGGUGAGUGGAAUUCCGAGUGUAGAGGUGAAAUUCGUAGAUAUUCGGAAGAACACCAGUGGCGAAGGCGACUCACUGGACACAUAUUGACGCUGAGGUGCGAAAGCGUGGGGAGCAAACGGG